CAGAAAAUAGUAUAUAAUUUUACAUAAAUUUUGGAGAUUUAAAAAGCUAAUUGCUUUUUCUGA
rnacentral:tRNA from 1 species